rnacentral:rRNA from 1 species
CUCGAGGCCAGAUCUUUCCGGUUGAUCCUGCCGGACCUGACUGCUAUCGGAUUGGUACUAAGCCAUGCGAGUCAUUGUAGCAAUACAAGGCAGACGGCUCAGUAACACGUAGUCAACCUACCCUAUGGACGGGGAUAAUCUCGGGAAACUGAGAAUAAUACCCGAUAGAUCAUUGUGCCUGGAAUGGCUAAUGGUUGAAAUGAUUUAUCGCCGUAGGAUGGGACUGCGGCCUAUCAGUUUGUUGGCGGGGUAAUGGCCCACCAAGACUAUUACAGGUACGGGCUCUGAGAGGAGAGGCCCGGAGAUGGGUACUGAGACACGGACCCAGGCCCUAUGGGGCGCAGCAGGCGAGAAACCUUUGCAAUGUGCGAAAGCACGACAAGGUUAAUCCGAGUGUUUUCUGCUAAAGAAAUCUUUUGUCAGUCCUAAAAACACUGAUGAAUAAGGGGUGGGCAAGUUCUGGUGUCAGCCGCCGCGGUAAAACCAGCACCUCAAGUGGUCAGGAGGUUUAUUGGGCCUAAAGCAUCCGUAGCCGGCUAUGCAAGUUUUCGGUUAAA